rnacentral:rRNA from 1 species
AAGCCGCGUGAGGGAAGACGGCCCUAUGGGUUGUAAACCUCUUUUGUCGGAGAACAAAACCCGGGACGAGUCCCGGACUGCGUGUAUCCGAAGAAAAAGCAUCGGCUAACUCCGUGCCAGCAGCCGCGGUAAUACGGAGGAUGCGAGCGUUAUCCGGAUUUAUUGGGUUUAAAGGGUGCGUAGGCGGUCCGUUAAGUCAGCGGUAAAAUUGCGGGGCUCAACCCCGUCGAGCCGUUGAAACUGGCAGACUUGAGUUGGCGAGAAGUACGCGGAAUGCGCGGUGUAGCGGUGAAAUGCAUAGAUAUCGCGCAGAACUCCGAUUGCGAAGGCAACGUACCGGCGCCAGACUGACGCUGAGGCACGAAAGCGUGGGGAUCGAACAGGAUUAGAUACCCUGGUAGUCCACGCAGUAAACGAUGAAUGCUGGUUGUCCGGGUCGAAUGGGAUCUGG